CUCACAGCCAAAGCACCCUCCCCGGUUCCCCACCUGCGCCACCGCCAAGCCCGAGAGCCGGCGGCCCCCCGCCUGCUGAUCCCGCCUCUGCCUCUCGAUACCGCGCCCCCUGCGGGGCGGGGCCUCGGGUUGCCCCGCCCCCGAAAUGUUCAGACACCCACGCUGUUCUCAGCCCCACAAAACCCCCUGAUCCCCAUGUGAUUUUUCUUCUUGGGAACCUGAAAGCGGUGGGUAGGACACUGGACUCUAGUGUCUGCGGGGGCUUGCACACAGUUGGUGCUCAAUAAAUGCCUACUGAUUUCAUUGUCCUUUGAAGACAUGCCGUAAUAAAGCUUCUACCUCUUGAGAACACCCCA